GAGCUGUUAGCUCAGUUGGUAGAGCAUCUGACUUUUAAUCAGAGGGUCGCUGGUUCGAACCCAGCACGGCUCA
rnacentral:tRNA from 1 species